rnacentral:rRNA from 1 species
CUGGCUCAGGACGAACGCUGGCGGCGUGCCUAACACAUGCAAGUCGAGCGGAGAAAUAUCCGACACUGAGAUUUUAUAAAGAGUGAGUAAGCAGCACAAGACCGAUGCGUAUUCAACGCGAAAAAAGCUUGCUGACACAAUGUGAGAUUUGAGUGUUGGAUGUUUCUUAGCGGCGGACGGGUGAGUAACGCGUGAGUAACCUGCCUUAUACAGAGGGAUAGCCUUGAGAAAUCGGGAUUAAUACCUCAUGACAUAUUUUGAUCGCAUGAUCAAGAUAUCAAAACUCCGGUGGUAUAAGAUGGACUCGCGUCCCAUUAGCUAGUUGGUGAAGUAACGGUUCACCAAGGCGACGAUGGGUAGCCGGCCUGAGAGGGUGGACGGCCACACUGGAACUGAGACACGGUCCAGACUCCUACGGGAGGCAGCAGUGGGGAAUAUUGCACAAU